AGCAACUAGCUGAAAAAACUCGGACCGGGAAAAUUUUACCAAACGAAUUUCAAGGAGGAACAUUCAGCAUUUCAAAUCUGGGAAUGUUUCCUGUUGACCAUUUUUGUGCAAUUAUAAAUCCCCCACAGGCCGGUAUCCUUGCUGUUGGUAGAGGAAACGAAUUUGUCGAACCGGUGACAGGAAGUGA